rnacentral:tRNA from 1 species
GUGAAAUAAAAUAAAAUAAGAAACAUUUUUAUCUUUCCCAGAACGGGGAUGUAGCUCAGUGGUAGAGCGCAUGCUUUGCAUGUAUGAGGUCCUGGGUUCAAUCCCCAGCUUCUCCAUUUAAAAUUAUUGCAUUGACCCAACUCCUACUUUACAGAAUGUUGUAAUUCUAAGCAGGAAACAGAGAUGUGCUAAAUAAUUUGGUUUUGUAAUCUGAAGAACAUUCCUUCAAUCCCUGUUCGUACAAUUAUAGAACAGAAGUGGCAUGAUUGCCAUCUUUUAUGGCGUCAUUUUCAAAAACUGAAGUUUAUGGGUUCGAUCCCAGUCUGUACCUGGUUUAAGAAUUGCUGCUAUCAUUUCCUUGUAGUUUCAAUGGAGUGGUGUAUAUAAAAAGUACAUUGUAUUGAUAUUGCAUUUUAUCUGCAAAUGAAAUGGGAUGGAAGCUCAGAGGGGGAGUGCAUGCAAAAUAUGUAUGAGGUCCUCGGUUCAAUCCCAAGAUUCUCCACUGAGUUUAUUUGUGUGCCAAAUUCACAUUUACACAACUACUACUUUCCUGAAUGUUGAUAUAUAAUACAGAGCGUAGAGUGGCAUGGUGGCCGAGUGGUAAGG